rnacentral:rRNA from 1 species
GACGAACGCUGGCGGCAUGCCUAAUACAUGCAAGUCGAGCGAACAGAUGAAGUGCUUGCACUUCUGACGUUAGCGGCGAACGGGUGAGUAACACGUAAGGAAUCUACCUAUAAGCGGGGGAUAACAUUCGGAAACGGGUGCUAAUACCGCAUAAUAUCUUCUUCCGCAUGGAAGAAGAUUGAAAGACGGCUCUGCUGUCACUUAUAGAUGACCUUGCGGUGCAUUAGUUAGUUGGUGGGGUAACGGCCUACCAAGACGAUGAUGCAUAGCCGACAUGAGCGGGUGAUCGGCCACAUGGGGACUGGGACACGGCCCAGACUCCUGCGGGAGGCAGCAGUAGGGAAUCUUCCGCAAUGGGGGAAAGCCUGACGGAGCAAUGCCGCGUGAGUGAAGAAGGCCUUCGGGUCGUAAAACUCUGUUAUAAGAGAAGAACAAAUUGUAGAGUAACUGCUACAGUCUUGACGGUAUCUUAUCAGAAAGCCACGGCUAACUACGUGCCAGCAGCCGCCGUAA